UACGUAGGGUGCAAGCGUUAAUCGGAAUUACUGGGCGUAAAGCGUGCGCAGGCGGUUAUGUAAGACAGUUGUGAAAUCCCCGGGCUCAACCUGGGAACUGCAUCUGUGACUGCACGGCUAGAGUGUGUCAGAGGGGGGUAGAAUUCCACGUGUAGCAGUGAAAUGCGUAGAGAUGUGGAGGAAUACCGAUGGCGAAGGCAGCCCCCUGGGAUAACACUGACGCUCAUGCACGAAAGCGUGGGGAGCAAACAGG
rnacentral:rRNA from 1 species